UUCUCGGGGGGGAACGCGAAGAACCUUACCUACUCUUGACAUCCAGAGAACUUUCCAGAGAUGGAUUGGUGCCUUCGGGAACUCUGAGACAGGUGCUGCAUGGCUGUCGUCAGCUCGUGUUGUGAAAUGUUGGGUUAAGUCCCGCAACGAGCGCAACCCUUAUCCUUUGUUGCCAGCGGUUCGGCCGGGAACUCAAAGGAGACUGCCAGUGAUAAACUGGAGGAAGGUGGGGAUGACGUCAAGUCAUCAUGGCCCUUACGAGUAGGGCUACACACGUGCUACAAUGGCGUAUACAAAGAGAAGCGACCUCGCGAGAGCAAGCGGACCUCAUAAAGUACGUCGUAGUCCGGAUUGGAGUCUGCAACUCGACUCCAUGAAGUCGGAAUCGCUAGUAAUCGUAGAUCAGAUGCAUUUGUUUC
rnacentral:rRNA from 1 species